rnacentral:rRNA from 1 species
GGUGACCUCCUGGAAAGUCCUCGAGUUGCACCCCUU